rnacentral:rRNA from 1 species
UCCAGUGACUAUAGCAAGAGGGCUACACCUGUUCCCAUACCGAACACAGAAGUUAAGCCUCUUAGCGCCGAUGGUACUUGGCGGGCAGCUGCCUGGGAGAGUAGGUCGUUGCUGGUU